rnacentral:sRNA from 1 species
AUCUUAAGAUCUCACAUAUUCCAGACCUAAAGUUAAAAAUGAAGGCCUUCUCACUUCUGAUGAGAUCAUUGGAAUAGCUGUUGGUGCCAGUGUUGGCGUUAUUCUUACAGGGGCCAUAAUCGUGCUGCUUGUAAUACGGUUUAAAAAAAGACGUUUCGAAAAAUCCAAUUCAAGUGAAACAGACAGUGAAGAGCCUAGUGAAUCUCUGAGAGAAAGGAUAAUGGCCACUGAAUCAACAGUUUUGUCCAUCCCUCGUCCUAAGCUCAUCAACUCAAGCAGAGUUCAUCCUAAUGACCUUGAUGCUAGAAACAGCUACCCCUUAGAGCAGAUCAGCGGCCAACAACAAAUACGCAAAAACUGGAGGCGGACAUCUUCGUCUUGGGACAUCGGUCAAUUCUUGCCAGUAGACGAGAAAGGAACGCGCCAGGUUCCGUUGGCUUUUAGCGGAGGGUCAAGUUGGACAAAGGAUCGUGCAACUUAAUCAGAAUAUUAAUAAUCUUAUUUAUAGAGCGCUGUUAACAAGCAUGAUAUAGGCUCAAGGCACUGUGAUAACAUUACAAACAUAAACAGGAGAGCUGAAAUGACAUACUAAUCUAAAAAAGUUUUAAACAGAUAGGUCUGAAUGUUCUUUUUGAAUCUAGUGUCUGCCUGAGCGUGAGCUCCGAAGUUUCGUCCAUGUACUGAAAUAGCCCGCAGGCCGUAGCUUUUGGCGGAGAAACGUGGCAUCACUAGAAGCGUUGAGUCCAUAGAGUGCAGUGUUCUCUGGGUACAUAUGGAGUGAUCAGUUCACUAAAGUACAAGGGCAUUUCUUUAUUGUAGAUGCACUGAUGACUGAUGAUAUUUAAAAAAACUUAAGCUCUCGUCUUUAAAAAUGACUUCAAUCCCCUAACGCUUUACAGAGUUAUGUAUCAGUGAAAUGCCCCCGGUCAUAUGAUUGCUCAGACUAGAAAUGAUGGAAUCAAAACCUCCAAAACAAUGACGCUCUGAGUCCGUUUGUUAGAUCUAAUUUUAUAUCUGUUAUCAAAGUGCCUACCUAACUGUUCAUGAUUUCAUUUUCACAAAUAUUUUUUUCUAAAUACUCAUGGCCGCUGCGACCUAUCGCACCUUGGGCCCAAUUUGGGAAACUGCCAAAUAGUUAUUUCAAAUCAUUAUUUUAAUUUAAAAAAAUGGCUUUAUCAGGAGUUUAGAGAUUUUCAUAUUACUGCCUGUAAAAUUGUGCUGAUAUCGAGAUCAGAAAUGUAUAGGAUAUGAAAAAUAAAACAUGUUUGGUGAUGAGUAUUAUGACUAAAGUGUUAAUAGCCUAUAAAACAAUUUUAAAAUCUUUUUUUCCUUACAUACCAUACUUGAUACAACAAUAAAUGCAUUAAGCGUCAAACUUAAAGUGUUGAAAUAAUUUACACAUGUAUUUAGAGUUGUAUACAAAAAGAUUGCGUAAUAAAAUAUUUACUAUGAA